AUGGGUGACAAGAGUGAGACUCCCUUCUAAAAAAAAAAUCUAGCAUUCAACUAAUUUCUCGUUUUAUCUGUUUGAGUGUCCAGAAAUGAGAAGGGAAGUUAUAGAUGUGUAUAGUUGGUAGUGUGAGUCCCAAUUUUGCAGAUUAUGAAGGUGAGGGAUGGACAGGUGUCAUGACUCUGCUCCUCUAAAAGCUACAGAUGCAAGAAUUUGAGGGAACCAAAGCUAUGUGGCCCUUUUCAGUGGGUUUGCAAUAUGUGCUUCAAGUCAGUGAACACCUCUUAAUAGAAUGCAUUCAAGAACAUCAGCCCAGACAGUAGGCUGACCUGUGAUGCAGUACUAAUCUAAGACCAGAGUCCUCUUCAUGAAAGAGGCGUUCUCACCACUUAAUGUGUUUGCCACCUGGCCUGUGCUUAUGUUUGGUAGGUUCUGAAGUAGGUCCAAACACUUCCAUUUGGGAAACAAACCACUGGGUCUAUGAAAAACGGUCUUUGAAUAUAAUCAUCUGACAGCAUGUCUGACUGUACCUAGUAGCUCUUCCAGGUUGCAUCCCUGGGAUAAUGUGGAGUCUGCUGUACUGCUAUAACCCUGACAUUUCUAAUCUCAUUGAAUGACACUGCCCGAUCCCCAAACUGGAAACCAGGGAGCUUUUCCUGGCUUUUCAUUCAUUGACACAUGUAAUUUGACAACAAAUUCUGUUAAUGCUAUUCCUUGAAUUUGUCUCCAAUCCCCACUUCAUCAUUACCUCCAGUGCCUUCACUGAUCUUUAUCUAUUGCAAGAAACUCCCGAUUCUUCCCUCUGCCACCAGAAAGCAUGCAGCCUUCACAAAAUGCCAUGGUGUAUCUUUGUAUCUUAGGUGCCUAACAGGGUCCAUAAUAAGCACUUAAUAAACAGUCAUUGAAUUUAAAAAAUGUUCAGCAAUAGUAUCUUGAAACAGAUCUACAGCUGCUUAUAAAUAGACAAGCAGAUGUAUAAGUCUGUGGGCAGCUACUCAUGACCCCUUUUCAUGGUAAGAUUUCUUCAAGACAAAUACCUUCCAAAGUGAAUUAUUUGUAUGAUAAAGGUUUCAUAAGUAUUUAAUGUUUUGUUUUACAAACCCAGAUCAUAGUUCCUUCCUGGUUUCUCGAGUCACUUAGAAACAAGGAUCAUUAGUUUUUAAACUGAUUUAAAAGCAGGUUCAAAUUCGAGGUUAAAAGAAAGGAAGGGAAGUACAUGGUCCCACAUUUCCUGCUUGGCUUGCAAUUUUAAAUAAGAUGAAUUAGUUUUACAAUCAUAUUUAGAUCAAUGAAGUACCUGCUUCAGUGCCUGGCUGAGAGAUGCCUGGAAAUAAACAAGUGUGAGCACCAAACGGAAGUCUCUGUAAGAAAACCAUCUGGAGCAUUUGGCAAAAUAAAGACAAUUCCCUUGGCAGUUCACAGCACAGCUGACUUCCCUGGUUUUUACAAUUUAGACAGAAAUUCUGAUCGACAGCAAAGGCUACUCUUUUAAGAGAGGCCUCAACACAAUUUGAGUGAAUUCACAGGAUGAAUCAUGCAAGUCCAUGUGGUUGAGAAGCAGAAGAGUGAGGACCAGAAUCUGACUCCUCAAUUCUAUUACUUUUUACACCACAGCUGUUGCAAAAAUAUCCCAUAGGGCUUUGAAUCACCUCUAGAAGGAUGGCGAGAACACAGUGCUCCAGACAUUUAAAACUGAAUCAAAGGAGGAAAGAAGCAGUAAAACUUGCUGCAGGGAAUCAUCUUAGCAGAAAGAUCAGCUUAGAUGCCUUUUUACUUCUAAUCUCAUAUGGUGGUAGAGCAAACGGACUGUGAAGUUCCCUAUGGAAAUUGUUAACUAUUGAUUAGAUCUUUUUACAUACACUUUUUCUUUUUAGAAGGAUCCUGAUUGGAGACUUACAAUGUAUUUUGUGCAUGGUCAAUUGUUUGUAAGCGGGUUUAAACUUUGUGUUUGAAGAAUAUAUUUACAGAAUAGAAUUUUGUGCAGCACUUUUUUGAAGGCAUUAGCUUCCAAAUGCAUUUAGCAUGGCACAUUCACCAGGCCACCCUUUAACCCACGGUGUUUGAGAAGAGCUGGGUACCAUUUUGACCAGCUUGCUUGUGACACCGCAUGUUCCAAUAAAACACAAUCUGUCUUUGGGUUGGCUUGGCCAUUUCUAUAGCUCUUAUACUUGUCUCCUCCUUGUGCCAAAUUAUACCUCAAUGUUCUGACAGGCAAUAUUAGGAAGUAUAUUGUCUUGGUUACAGCAAAAGUACAUUUCUGGUGUGGACACAAAAUGUAGCCACUUGCCUAUGACAUGGCACGCAGGUGGAUAUAUGUACUUUUAUUAAUGUCAGCUGAAGCAGAUGGACAAAACACACCAUAUGGUGGAGGCUACUGACUGCCCUCCUUUUGUUUCAUUGUAAAGAUGUAGCUGGACACAUGGUUCAGUGAGACUCAUUUCCCAGCCUUCUUACAAUUACUUGAAGACUUGUAACUAUGCUGCUGGGGUAGAGUGUGAGGGGAUGUGGUAUGUGCUGCUUCUGGGCUUGGGCCUUAUGAUACUGGCCGGGUGCUCUUUUCACAAGCUGGAAUUUAAAUCUGCUUCCAACUCUGUUCAGCAUAUUUUAGAGCAUGAAAGGGCAAACAUUUUCUUCAUAUAAAAGGGCCAAAUAGUAAGUAUUUUCAGCUUUGUGACAAUUCACUCUACCCUGUGAUGUGAAAGCAGCCAAAAGAUGAAAUGUAAACAAAUGGUCACGGCUGUAUUCCAAUAAAAUGUUACGUGCAAACCCAAGUGGCAGGCUGGAUUUGGUCCAUGGCCUGUAGUGUUCUAAUCCCUGGCUUGUGAAGAAACUGGAAAGAAACUGUGUAACCUACAUGGCUGCAAGGAACAGAGCUGCCCCAGACCAGAUCGCUCUCUCCAGAUAGUUUGAGAGAGGGAAACUUUCUUUUAAGCCACGGUACUUUGGGGCCUCUUUGUGCAGCAGUUUGGCUUUUCCCCUACUCAGUACACAUGGGCGGGCACUGUUGACCAUUUUUAGAUUCAGCUUCACAUUUGAGAGCAGGAAGCUUUAGUCCAGAGCUCUGGCCAUGUGAGUGACUCUUCACUGGGUCUUAUAUUUCCCCAGAAGGCCCGAAGUUAUUCCAUCCAUUUUAGUUAAGGAAGGUAGAUUAGUUUUGUCAGUAGUCAUCUGUCUAUUUGGAUUAUUGUCUUACCCUUUCUUGAAACCGAUGGAGGUAUCCCCAGGGUCUAUUUGAAGACCCCCGAGCUGCCUGGGGAAGCAUAGCGCACAGAUAUAAUACAUGAAGGACGUAAAAUUUUUCUUUGGGGAUUUUUUGUUCCUCCAUCCAAAUUCCUUUUAUGCCUCCUCAGAUCUCUCUCCUAUGGCUUAGUCUUAAGUAUUGGUUUUCCUCAGCUAUAAAGUUAUAGCUCAUAAAACUUAAUAUGUCAUCUUUGUUUUGCUUUUUCUAGUAAGUUGUAUGACCUUUACAGAAAAUUUGGAAAAUACAGAAAAACUGAAAAGUUACACAUGAUACAACUCACAACCACAAUCAUAGGAAACAAUUUUAGUGCAAUUUCUAUACAGUUUUGGCUUGUACUGGGACAUAGGCUUAGAAAAAAAAAA